CUUUCCGCGCGUGCGCGAGCGUCCGCUGUCACUCAGGUAGAACAGUCUCAAAUCGCACCGGCCGGGACCAGGCAGCCAAGAAACGCGGAGACAGACUACUGGGACUGCGACGUCUCCUCUCCUGUUCGCUGCGAUAUGCCGGCGUCGUGUUGAGCGGGCUGCGGACACAGACAGCCUGCCCGGCCCCACUGAGUGUUUGAUCCCCAUCCUCGCAGCUCUCUAGAGGACCAGAGUUGGCGGUGCAGCCCAGCGGAGCUUCGAAACCUGGACCCCUACUGAAUGGAUCUGCUGGCACCUAGACCUCAGAGAAGGGGGAACUGAAGACUGAAGUCUGACCACUGUUCUUUGUUGAAAAUUUCUUUCUCAGGGGCUUGGAGGGAUCACAUCUACAAUCCUGAGCUAAUAUUCUCUUCUGCUGUCCCCAAAAUUUAAACGAAGCUUCUCUUAACCCAUUGCAAAUGAGAAAAAUCUUUGAAUCUACCUAUGACUAUAAGCCCUUAUUUCAAGAUAUCCUGCCUUUUUAGGCCAGAACCAAAGUGUAACCUCCAUCUAUUGAUUUACAAUUUUGCCUGUAACUUUGGCUUUCCUGAAAUUUACCCCAGCCUUAAAAAAAAAAAAG
ensembl:lncRNA LINC02851 long intergenic non-protein coding RNA 2851